UACGUAGGUGACAAGCGUUGUCCGGAUUUACUGGGCGUAAAGAGCGCGCAGGCGGUCGUUCAAGUCGAGUGUGAAAGCCCCCGGCUCAACUGGGGAGGGUCAUUCGAUACUGAUCGACUCGAAGGCAGGAGAGGGAAGUGGAAUUCCCGGUGUAGUGGUGAAAUGCGUAGAUAUCGGGAGGAACACCAGUGGCGAAGGCGGCAUCCUGGACCGGCAUUGACGCUGAGGCGCGAAAGCCAGGGGAGCAAGCGGG
rnacentral:rRNA from 1 species